UGUUAUAACUAAACUCAGUCCUCAAUAUCCUUCACCUUCUCCCACUGCCCCUUCAAAUUCUCCUUCCACAAACUGACUUUAUUAUCUCCACCACUGAUAGCCAGGACGUUCCCGCUCAGACUCCAGCUGACACGCCAUAACACACAGUCAAACUCGAGAUGCUGGCUGGUCCACUCAUUGGGGUUUGACGGAUCGGACGUCCAGAUGCGGACGGUUUUAUCUUGGGAAGCGGAGGCGAUGUAGGAUUUGGAGAGGAUGCUUGGUGACCAGGCCACGUCACGUACCCAGUCUGUGUGGCCUUCCAGCACCUUGGUUACUGUGUAGGUCUUGUUUUCGGCGUUAUACUCCCAUAUCUUAGCAAGGUUAUCACUCCCGCCCGUUACAAACCUGCGUAGCUGUCCGGGGCUUGGGGUCGUGCUGAUGAUGGAACCAGGAGCGGCAGAGGGCGCCCAGCUGACGGAAUUGACACCCAUGCCAUGCGCGUGGAACAGUUGGUGCGUCCAGCUAUUGUCGCUGAAUUCAAGUACGCUGACGUUGCCGUCGGAGGAGGCACAGGCGAGCAGGCAGCCACUCUCGUGCGGAGCCCAAGAGAUGCCGUUGACGGAGGCAGUGUGCAGGGAGAAAUCAAAAACUUUUGUCCAGGUGCUGGCGGUGGAGGCGGAGGCGGUGCUAGGAGCUUGCUCGCGCCAUAUGAGGACUUUGCCGUCGUAGGAGGAGGAGGCUAGGAUUGUUCCGAAUUUGGGAUGUGCCCAUGCAAUACACCAUACUGCUCCCUCGUGGCCUUUCAGUGUCUCGAGCAGCCUGUGGGAGUCGCCUUCCACUUCGAAAAUCUUAAUUGUUUUGUCUGACGAACAUGUUGCUAGUCUGCGACCGUAAUAGUCUAGAGCUGCAUCAUGGAUCAUGUCAUCGUGGCCAGAAUUCGUUAUAACUUGCGCCAUUUUAGAUGUCACAUAAAAUGGCUGGAC
rnacentral:sRNA from 1 species